rnacentral:rRNA from 1 species
UGGGGAAUAUUGCACAAUGGGCGCAAGCCUGAUGCAGCCAUGCCGCGUGUGUGAAGAAGGCCUUCGGGUUGUAAAGCACUUUCAGCGAGGAGGAAGGUGGUGAGCUUAAUACGCUCAUCAAUUGACGUUACUCGCAGAAGAAGCACCGGCUAACUCCGUGCCAGCAGCCGCGGUAAUACGAAGGGUGCAAGCGUUAAUCGGAAUUACUGGGCGUAAAGCGCACGCAGGCGGUUUGUUAAGUCAGAUGUGAAAUCCCCAGGCUCAACCUGGGAACUGCAUUUGAAACUGGCAAGCUAGAGUCUCGUAGAGGGGGGUAGAAUUCCAGGUGUAGCGGUGAAAUGCGUAGAGAUCUGGAGGAAUACCGGUGGCGAAGGCGGCCCCCCUGGACGAAGACUGACGCUCAGGUGCGAAAGCGUGGGGCAGCAAACAGGAUUAGAUACCCUGGUAGUCCACGCUGUAAAACGAUGUCGAUUUUGGAGGUUGUGCCCCUUGAGGCGUGGCUUCCGGAGCUAACGCGUUAAAUCGACCGCCUGGGGGAGUACGGCC